UCAAUUUCUGGAGGUCAAAACAAAAAAUUUGCAUCCAUUAUAAGAAAUGUACAGUUGGUUUCUCAUGACAAAAAGAAUUAAAGAAAUCCAAUGAUGUCUUUCUCUAAAAUAUAACAGUGGCGAAGUAGCAUUAGCAUUGUUGCUCGAAAUUUCCUAAUGGUUAGUCACAUUGUUAGUGACAAAAGAAUGAUCAGCUGAAAUAUCUGUCCAAUUGGAACAGAGACAAGGGCUGUUUGUGUCGCUAAAUAUUGUACAAACUAAUGGUGAAAUCUUUCGUUUAUUUAGCUGAAAUCCUGUCUCCUCAGUUGGAAGUGGAAGAUGGGAUGUUCGUGUUGGUGAAUUUUGUACAGUCAAAUGGCCCUACCGCUUGGUUAUUUUUCCGUCUUACCGGGGACCAAGGACCAGGUUCAGGUAGAGACUUGUCCUGGGGUGAAUUUUGUACAGCACCUCCUUUCAUCGUUAGAAUUUCCUCUCCAGCUGCUUCAAAGGCAGCUAACCAUUCAUCAGAAAAAGGAACAGCAUUUGGUGGAGGUCUUAUUACAAGGGCGUCAUGCCUCUUGUCAUUCCCAGAUUUCUUGAGCGAGAAUGUUGCUUCCUUAACUACUUCAGAGCACACAGCACUGCCUAUCCCAUCUUGCGUUUCACUGUUAAUACCACCAUUGCUUUUGUGAACGGCAGUUUCAGCUUCCACAGGCAAAAUUUUACUCUCUGCUAAGACUUCUACAUCCUGCUGCAUACUUCCUUCUAAUGUCUCAUUAGAGUCAAAAGUAUUUGCGGCCGAUGCCUUCUGAUCUCCAUUUGUCUUGGAGGAUGAACAGAAAUUCAAAGGAUGUGCUUGAUUGUCAAGCUCAUCGUUUCUGCACUUACAAUCCAUAUAAAAUUUGAUAUUUUCAAUUGAUGGGUCCAUGGAUGGAUGCCCAAAGUUGUUAUCAUGCGUCACUGGGGGAGCUUGAAUGUAAGCUUCAAAACUUCUUGAUCCAGCUGGAAAACCAUUGCAUUGCUCUAAAACAGUACCUGAAACAUUCUCUGCAGUAUCUCUCUCUGGAGAUUCAACAGAAGUAUUCAUAAGCAACAAGUUAUCACCUGAACACAAUCCGUGGUUUCCCAAAGGAACUUGAUCAAUCAUAAGGCCAAGAUUUUGAAGCUCAAGACAUUGUUUUGGCUGUCUAAUGAUAUCAUCAACCAUCGGCGAAGAUUUCUUAUCUGUCAAUGAGAUACUAACACUACGGUUAUGGCUAUCAGCUGACAAAUUCUCAUCCAAGGACUGUGGUAGUGGCACUGCAUCUUCCAUAAGCGUGUCCUUAAUCAUUUUAUCAACUCCAGCAAGUUCAUGUUCCAUGAUUUCACAUUUGAGUGAACUGUGAGGAAUUUCAGAUAUGCUUUCACCAACUAUAAUGACACCUUCAAAGGAUCUGUUUUCAUGACACAAGAGAUUAUCACGUGCCUCUUGACUCUGAUUCACCUGUUUAUGAGAACAAGAAUUUAUCAGCUUAACUUGCUCUGCAAACUGUUCUUUGACAUCGCACAUACCAACAAAGCAAUCAUUGUGCAGUAUGGAAGUGCCACUUUCUUUAUAACAAGCUUCUUUCCCUGGCUGUAAAUCAGAGAUGACAGUGAAAUUUGUCGUUGAAGAAUCCAAUUGUUUGUCUAUGACACAAUCAUGCUCACUCACAUCAUUCAUCCCAUUAGCAACUUCAACUUGGAUGACAGAGCUAAUUUCGGCUGUGACAUGUGGAUUUUCAAGUUCAUUCCCUCUGAAAUCCCCACUAGUUAAACAAUAAUUAUUCACCUUAACACCACCAGUGAUGACUGUACCAAAAAUGCGGCUUUUGUCCAUCCUUUCCACUGUCGAAGCAUUAGCUUCAUCACUCUCAAUGUCAUGCCUAAAAUUUUCAACCACAGGCUCACUGUCUACAGAAGCUGUUAAAUCAUUUUCCAUAUGUAGGAACUCCACCUUUUCAGCUCCAUCAAGACCAGAAUCAUGGUUUAUAGGUGAUAUUGAAAAAAGAACAUUGGAGCUUCCCAAUUCACCUUCACAAGCACUGGUUCUCAAUUCAUCAGAUUUGACACUCAGAAGAGCAUCUUUCUCCCGGGCCUCCUCAUAGCCUUUUUCAUGCAAUAAGCAACCGAUAAAAGGUGGUCCGCAGUUAUCCUGAAACAACGAUUCUCUCACGAGACAGGGAUUUGGUAGCUCAGCUUGUUCUUUUGAUAUUGAACUUGGAUCAUCAAUAAUCGUCAAGUUUGAAUUAUCCACUGUUGAAGUGCUCACUGAACUCUUGCUACUUUCAUCCAACAGAUUACCAUCUACAUACAGCAUUUGUGCAUCUCCCACAUGUAACUCCCUAUUCAAGUAAUCCAUUCCAAUAGUGCCAUCUUUUGCGGGUUCUAUAUCUGUACUGUGAGAUUGACAAUUUGCUGUUGCACCACACUCUUGGACUUCUAGACUAGCAUCUACAGCAUUUGAACUAUCAUGUUUGUUAAGAUCUUCUGAAGAUCGGCUGUCCUCAAACAAAAUACCAUUAAGCCUCUGGCUCUCCACAUUAGAAAUUGAAUCACCUUGGCAGUUGUCAGGCUUCAUCAGCUCAGCUUGUUGGGGACUCUGCUUCUUGUCUUCAUGCACUUUUAAAGCAGCCCCAUCCCAGUUACUUUUCACACCUGCAGAUUGAGAUUCUGAACAGAAACUGUGUUCCUUUAUCGAGGGACUGUACUCCCCGUUUUCCACAUUUUGGUUGACAAUUGUAUUGUCUGCCACAGGACCUUCAACUUCCAUUGGGAGGCUAAGAGAGGAGCCUAGACCAGAACCAGUAGCGUCUCUAGUUCUGAGGCAAACGUUGAUAACACUCCUAUCAUUAUCUUGUUCCAAUUCUUCACAUGGACCGCUUUGGAAAGGCAACUUAUUAUUGUUGCUCUGCUCCGCUUUAAGCUCCAUGGAAGAUAUCUUCAAAAUUUUACAUGGUUCUGCAAGAUCUAGAGAUUGUGGAUCAGCAUCAUCACACUUUUCAUGCAGCUGCUGCUUACAAUUUGUUGUGUCAAAACUCUCAGAGUUAAGUUGCACCUUCAAUGCCACCUUCUGCAUAUUAUUCAAUUCUGUGUUGGAUUUUAUCUUUCCACAUGAGGCAGCAUUUAUGGUUGAUACAACAGAGUAUGCUCCAUUUGAGGAUGAAGGUAUAUUCCUGGAUGGUCGGGGAGGCCUUUGAUAAGUAGGAUUUAAGACACCAGUUUUGCUUAGAUUUGGAAUAUUAGACUCGGGGAGAUUGCAGGAUUGAGUGCUUCUUUGUAACAGGCUCCGCAAACCAGAAGGUUUUGACUGACCAAAAAAUCCCAGUGAUGGAGAUGGCAUUCGCAAGCCUGACGGUUUUGCUGGUUGGGGUUGUGUAGAUUGCAUGUUUCUACCAUUAAAGCAAUCAAUUUGAGAGAAAGAAACUGCAAUUUUGUUGGUAUUGCUGUCAUGGCCUUUUGCUGGAUGAGCAACAGACGGAACUACUGAAUCUGGGACCACUUCUGAACUAUCAUUUGAUUGGCUAACCUGGGAAAGCUGUACUUUGGAUGAUGAAUGUAUUUCUGGCACUGAGUUGACCUUUAACACAUUUCUUCUUGCCUGAUGAACCAUGGAUUUUAUGAUUGAUUUUCCAACUGGAGCAGAUUUUGCAUUAUUUUGGACAGUUUUCGUAUUGGUAGAAGUGCCCUUUAACCCAACAUUUUUCCGAGCAUUAACUGGCUGAGAAUCAUAAUUUCUCUUUGAGUGGCUGACACUAGUUACAGAGCUUCUAGAAGUCGUUGAAACAACUGAAGGAUCAGGCGUAGAGCUUCCAGAAGUCGUUGAAACAACAGAAGGAUCAGGCUUUGGAGCCAAUAGUUUAGAAACACUUGAGGUUUUAGUUGCCACUUUUGCUGUGAUCACGUUUGAAGGCUUUUUUAGAUAUGAUGAGGCCACUGGUUGUGGGCAGCCACUACGCUUAGAGGCACUUCUAUUAAUAUCAUGGGUUGAAAGAACCUUUCGCUUGGCUGCAGAAGCUGGGCCCUUUUUUUCUUUUGCUGGUGAACCAAGCUUCGGUGGAAAUUUAGCAGCAAUCUUUCUAUUUUCAUUUGGAGUGUUUGAAGGCAGCUCCUUGAAUAUAUUAUCUUCAAGUGAUUGUAAAUCAGAUGAGUCAUUGGUGCUAUCCAAUCCACCACAUAGUGACUCUCUGCCUUCAUGGAUAACGGACAAAGUCUCCCCACUACUUUUGCCAGAAGGCCCACUAAGCAUUGAUAAUUCCAAAGGAUCCAAAACACCUUCUUCAGUGAAGAAAGCUCUAUCCCAUGCUAAGCUUUUUCGCAGAUUGUAUCCACCGCCCUUUUUCUUCCUCUUCAUUUGCUGUGGCUCAAGGCUAAGUUUAGGCGCUUCUGGUUUGUUCAGAUUAGCAUUUUCCUUGUUCAUACUAUUUUCUCUACUAUCUUCGCAGGAUGAAGAGCCAGGUAUACACGUAGCCUCUGUGCCAUUUAUGCUCUCGAUUGGAGAGGCGAGAAGAGGAGGAGGAGGACGAGAGCAGGUGGAUCUAGGGAUUCGGAGAAGAGGAGAGCAAGAGAAAUAGGACUUGUCAGUAGUGGCAUCGUCGUGAGAGAUCUGUUGUACAGAAAGCAGCGAAUCGUCUUCCCCUGAAAUCUCAACAAGCGAAAGAUCAGUCUCCAUUUUGGGUCUCUGGAACUCAGAGCAAUCAAUCGAAUCAAUAAUUAAGCAGCAGAGAGAGAGAGAGUACA
rnacentral:misc_RNA from 1 species